rnacentral:tRNA from 1 species
CGGGCUGUAAGUUAAAAAAAACUAUUAGACUUCAAAUCUGAAUAUAUCCUUGAAAGGGUCAGCCUGA